CACAUUGCCACAAAUCCUGCAGACAACUGAGUUGAGUGACAGCUGGAGAAUGAGAGGUAAUGAAUAUAUGCAUUGGCUGGGAACUGCCAGCCAGUCACUCUUCUGCUCACUGGUGUCUCAGCUGAUUUUUUGGAAUUGAUCAUAAUUGUAUCAGGAGAGUUCAUGUUUUAUAGUUUCAUUUUAUGUCAAUGUAAUUUAUAGCUAAUUAUAAAGUGAGGUUUAGAAGAACUUUAUCUAGUCUUGGCAAAGGCAGGAAGACUUUCCACCAAGGUUUGGCUAUGAGUUAGAAGAUUUCAGUGUGCUUUUUGAAUUAGGCAUAACUGUCAGGCAUUUUUCAACCUUGUGAUAAUUGUACAUUUUAAUCAAAGUUAUACCAACUAUCCUUAACACAGUUUAUUUUAUUAUUAGAAGAAAUAAAAACAGUCGUGUGAAAAACACAGAGGCAUGUUCUGGCAGAACUACCAGAUUUGGACAUGUACAUAGUGACAACAUUAAGAAAAAUGUCUUUUUAAAUUAAUAAAUUCUAUUAUUUGAACUAUAAGCCAAAGAAGUGCAAAUCAUUUUAAUAAUGAUAAAGUAUAGCUUGUCGAUUACUCAAAACUCACUGAAAAUGUAUUAUUUGUAAUGACAUUCUUGUAAAUAAAAGCUUAAGAUCUUCCAAAAAAAUCACUUGAAAUAUAGCAAGCCAAAUUUGUUCAUAAGGCCUUCAAAUAUUUUCAAAGAAAAAAAGAUGUAAAUUUGUCAACAUGAUUUCACAUUGGUUUUAAUGAAAAAGCAUUACUAUCAUAAUUAGUCACAUGUAUGCAGCAAAAGGAAAAAAAUUAAACAGCUCCUAAAAAAGUUGUUCUCAGCAUACAUGGUUAUAGUGAAUAUGAUUCUUGAUAAAUCAGCAGAGAAAUUUAAAAUUAUACUUCUAAGUCAUAUUAUAGUUCUAAAGAAUAUACAGAAUAGAAUUUAUACUUAUUAGGCACAUACAGGCAGACACAGGUUGUAUAAUUCCACUUAAUGAGAACACUAAUAUUUCACAUUACUUAGACUUUAGUUUAUGCCAAAUAUGUAUGAAAAUAUGAUUUUUAUAAAGGAUUUAUUGUGUUGUUUCCAUUUAACCUAACACAAAACUACUUGAGAAACAUAAGUUCAACUGGAAAAUUGUAACGGAAUUGUGAGUGAUUCAGAAGUAAAUACGACCAGGAGACAUGGAAAGAUAAUUUAAAAUAUUGUUAGAAGCUACUCUGUACAUUAUUUAAAAUCUGUGUUUUAUACAUUACAAAGAUUUUGCAUCCUAACAAUUGCACUAAAUCUUUUGGACUUGAAAACAAAAGUAACGAUAGUUGUUUAAUUUUAUUAAGGGAACCUUCAAUUUUUGAUAUGUUUUGUUCAGAAAUUGGAUCUGUGGCUAAUGAUUCCCCUCCCUAUGCCAUAGGAAGAGAGCUGUGAUUACUCAGGUAUAUCUCUGCAACUCUGUCUUCACCAAUGCAAUAUAUGAGAUUUGUGUAACUUCUGCCUCUGAGGCAUGGACUCCUCUACUCUCUUUUCCUCUUCCUAUGGGCUAGAACACAAUGUGCCUGGUACAUAUCUUUGAGACACACAAAUGAGAACAACCCCCUAUGGGAUGAGGAAACAGUAACAUUUAAGGUAUAUGGUCACUUAAUCUCCUGGGACCUGCUGCACCAACCUCAACCACUGACUCAGGGUUUAAUUGAAGAGAGAAGUAAGUGUCUAUGCUUUGUAAACCACUGUAUUGUUGGGUCUUUGUUAAAACAACUUAGCCUUUCCAUCAAAUAACAUGUACAUGUUGCAUCGUACUGAAGUUAUUGAUUGUUACGAGGAAAGUACUCAUUAAAUUAUAUGAACUCAGGAACAGGAUUCAUAUUUUCCUAUUUGAAAAGCAAUCUCAUUUGGCAUUUUGAAGAUGAUAUUUCACCAGAAGAAUCUGCAUAUAGGACUAAUUUUUUUGACAUUUUAAACUAACUGAAUUUGGAUCUACAGGGAAAAAGUAACAAUAUAUUUCAAGAUGUUUAAUAUAUCCAACACUAACCAAUACAUUUUAAGUAAUCACUGUGGUUACUAUGUGUGCACAAUUUUGUAACACAUAAAGAGAAAAUUAAUGAAGACAUUUUGAAUAGAAAAAUGAUAUUAGUUAUAUUACGUCUCUGUUAUAAACUUUAAUAAUUUCAAAAAGAGAAAUUUGAAAUAUUGAGGAAAAAAUUGAUAAAAGAUCUGUUUUCCAAAAUCCUGAAUCCAUAUUAAAGUUGAUACUCAAAGAAGAAAGCUAAUCUCUAAUACUUUAAUACAUUGAAGAAUGAUUAUAAGUUUAUAGCCAUUUUAGAUUAAGAUUAAAGAAGACUUUCCAUUGCUAAACAGAGUUCACUGUUGUUAUUAAUAGCAUUCACAGCAACUUAUUUGUGUGAGCCAGAAUUUUUAAGCAACAAAACUAAAAACAUUGGAAAGAAAUAGGCAUCACAGAGCAAACCACUGUGAUUGUCCUCAUGCCCGCAACCCAGAAUGAAUUUAGGAACAGGCAAGUAUGCCUGCUGCAGUGAAUGAAAUCAUGCUUAGUAGUAACUAUUCUAGUUAACAGUAUGUACUGUUUUAUACCUAAAACUGUUGUUUCAGUUUUUUAACAUAUCUAUACAUGUAUGUAAACACUGGAUGAUAAUGUAAAGCAUAUUUUCUACUGUGAGUUAUAGAAAAAAAGUAGAAAGGUGUUUACUUUCCUUCAUAGCCAUCCACUGGGUUGUUUAUCCGUGUGAUUUCACCAGCUCUUAAUCCACUGCAACCAGGCUGCAGUCAUCAUUUCUCCCGGGUCUGGCUUCCACGGGAUCCUAACUCUCUCACAUUCAUUACAUCAUUUUCUGUGUUUAUCUUUGUCCUUUCUCUGGAUGUUGACCUUGUUGCCUGGAUACUACUUUUAUUUCAUUUUUGUGCCACUUUUUUUUUUAGAAUAACACUUCUGAUUAUAAAAGUAAAAAUAUUUAAUGAAAAAUAAACUCACCUAUAAGCCCAUCAAAGAUAAUCACUUAAUAUUUUGUAUGUACUUUUGAUAGAUAUGUAUGUACAUAUAUGCAUGUAUUUUUGAACUUAUAUAUACAUCUACAUCAAAUAUUUAAAUAAAAUUGGAAUCAUGUAGUAUACAAAAGUACAUAGCAUUUUACAAUUUGCUUACUUAAGUAUAUAGUAUAAGCCACUUUUCUUUUUUUUUUUCUUUCUCUGUCUUUUUUUUUUUUUUUUUUUUUUUUUUUUUUUUUUUGAGACAGUGUCUUGCUCUGUCGCCCAGGCUGGAGCGCAGUGGCGAGAUCUCAGCUCACUGCAACCUCUGCCUCAGGGUUCAAGCACUUCUUGUGCCUCAGCCUCUUGAGUAGCUGGGAUUACAGGCAUGUGCCACCACACCCGGCUAAUUUUUGUAUUUUUAGUAGAGGCAGGGGGGUUCUCACCAUGUUGGCCAGGCUGGUCUCCAACUCCUGACCUCAGGCGAUCCACCUGCCUUGGCAUCUCAAAGUGCUGGGAUUACAGGUGUGAGCCACUGCCCCCGACACCACUUUUCAUAUUAUUCAAUAUUUCUCUCCCACAUUAUUCUUUUUAAAUUAAAAACAAUUUUUUUUUUUAGUAGAGAUGAGGUCUUGCCAUGUUGCCCAGGCUGCUCUCAAACUCCUCGGCUGAACCAAUCUGCCUGCCUCAGCCUCCGAAAGUGCUGGGAUUACAGGCAUGAGCCAACAUGCCUAGUCCCCCACAUUAUUCUCAAAGGCUAUAUAAUAUGAUGCUUUAUGAAUAUAUCAUGGGUUAUCUAUCCAUAUCCUUGUUGCAUAUUUAGUUUUCUCUUUUUUUAGAAUUGAAAGACACACUGAAAUGCUUGUAGAAAGAUCCUUAUCCAUUUCCAUAAUCACUUUCUUAGGAUGAAUUCCCAGAAGUGGAAUUGUUAGGUCAAAGCUAUACCUAUGCCACAUACACAUCCAGGCUCCCUCCCUCCAGGAAUGUAGUACCAAGUUACACUCUGACCAGCACCCAAGACAUGAGAGGACCUUGUUGUUCAGCUCCUUCAAUAACAUUUAAAAAAUCUCUCAGUCAAUUUGAUUAAUAGAAAAUAGCAUCUUAUUUAAAAGUUUGUUCUCUUUAUUAGGCACUUGAACAUUUUUUAUAAGUUUAUGGGGUCAUAUGUAUUCUCUCCUCUGUAAACUGACUUUAUAUAUAUUGGCUUUUUUAAAAAAGAAGGAGCAUUUGUUUUUUAAUUCUUUGUUAAAGCUUUUUUUUUUUAACAAAGCUAUUCAAACUUUAUAUGUCUGACAUUAAUAUAAACAUUUUCCUAGUUUGCAGCUUAAACGAAAUUGUUUUUAAUUGUAAAACUAGUAAAUACUUUAAAAUAGAUUCAAAAAUAUAAAUCCACAUAUAAUUAAGAUUUAGAGGUAUCAUCUUUUCUUCCUUCAAUCCAUCCCUCAGAGUAUCAUUUGCUUUUUAAUUUUGUAUGAAACUUUUGGCAUAAAGGUCUUAAAUAUUCAAAUAGUCAAAUCUAUUGACCUUUUUUCCUUCAGUUUCUGCCUUAGUUUGUUAGAAAUAAUCUUAAUGCAUUAAGAUAAGUAUAUUCACUUAUGCUUUCUUCUAAACUUUUCAUCAUUUAAUUCUUAAAUUUAAUUUUUAAUACAUUUGUAAUUUAUUUUGCUACACGAUAUAAAGUUGUGAUCUAUAUAUUUUUCCAAAUAGUUAACAAUUUUCUUUAACCCAAGUACAUUAUCUGCUGCGGCGUUUUUACUUUUUUUUUUUUAAACCUUUCUUUAAAUGAUGGCUUCACUGGGCGUGAGGGUAGCGGUAGAAGCAUCCUUGGGGGCUGGGACUUUGUAGGUUUUGCCUCCUCAGUACCAAGAGCGCCGAAGGAGUAGUCUGACAUCCCCAUGUGUUGGACACCCUCCAAUGGCAGUCCCUCCCCUGGCUGACCCCCUACACCUCGGAUUUCGGACUGCUCCUCUCAGCCUCCUCCCUGGGCCCUUGCUCCUGUACCCAUGAUUUGAGAAUUAGGGGGGCCGUCACUCCCUCUCUUGUGCAACCUUUGUCAAACUCGAGGCAUCAACAACUCCUAUAUUUACCACCCUUCAAAUACUGGCAUCCCUCCCAGAGCUCUAUCCUGAGUUCCUGUCCAUAAAAAAAAUCUACAAGUAUCUCAUUAUCAUUUCAAUCUGAACAUGUUCAAAACUGAACUCAUAUAUCCCCCCUAAUCCAAACCCUUUUUAUCUUCUCUUCUUUAAAGAAUGGGGCCACCAUCCUCCCAAUUUCCUAAACAAGUAACCUGGAAGCCAUCCCAUAUACACCGUCUCUCCCCUAUUGUGUCAUUAAAUCCUAUUGUUUCUACCCUUCAAUAUCUCUUGACAUACUUUCCUUUAUUCCCCUUCUACCCACCCUUGGCCUAAUUGGUUUCUAGAUUCCUGCAGAACCUUUGUUCUCCCAGCUGCCAGUCUGCCCCUCUGCAGUCCAUCAUCCUCACUUCCACCACAGGAACAUUUUCAAAGAAAAAGGAAACACGGGGUGCCCUGUCACACUGCCUUCCCCACCGCCCGCGUGAGUCUCCUGGGGCUCCCCCUUUUCACCCCAAUGAGAAGCCCUCUGCUGCGGCGGCCCUUGUGCACCACAUUUUUCACAGGGCAGCAAUUCAGCGCAAGAGAGGAUGGGAAGGGGAGGAGAUAGGGGUUUUUAGAAGGGGCUUUGGAUUCAGGACGUGUUUGGAGUCUAACUCUUGUUGGUCUGGGAAGUAACCCAGCCUCUCUGGGCCUGGUUUCCUUGGGCAUAUCAAGCUCUACCCCAGCCCCACCGCAGCCCACCGCCCGCCGCGUGUUGAAAGCUUGACUGGAGUUUCCCUGCAGGCAGGGGCACAGUGUGUGCAACGCUGCAUCGCCCGAGCCUGGCACAGGGAGUGGCCCAAAAAAGCUGUUAGUGACUGAACGCAAGAAUUUUCCGGUUAGCAGACGACGGGAUGCAGCGGGCGCGGCGCCUGCACCACGCUGGGGGUCCCGGUGUCCGGGCUGGGCCGCUCCGACUCCGCCCGCGGCCACCGUCGGCUCAGGGGGUGCGAAGACCGCGGCGAGGCCCC
rnacentral:lncRNA from 1 species